rnacentral:rRNA from 1 species
AAUUGUCUUUAUCAUAGGGACUGCUAAUAGAUAGUUCAUAACUCCAAUGCUGAAGUGUUCAACAAUGAGUGUAGGCUUGAUUACGACAGGGUGCAUAAGGGUGGUCCAAGGAGGGUGCCAGCAGUCGCGGGUACACCCCGCAUUACCCAAAAUAAAGCGGAGAUAAGCACAAAAAGUGGUAAGGCAGUUCCGGUGUAUGUUACUGGCUUGGGAAAGUUAGUUGGAUGUAGCUACGUUGGAGAAUUAGGCGCUUGGGUAACUCUUUAUGGUGAGGGGUGUAAACUGUGAACUCUUUGGGGAACUUUGAUGAUCUUUCGUUAGGCUGUGAGACCGCGGAAUAUAGGUAAGGAGACCUGGAUUAGAGACCCAGUUAUUCCUAUAUAGAAAUUAUGCUUGGGCAGCUGCUUGGCAACUACGAGUGAGAGCUUAAAAGUCAAAGUACUUGGCGGCUUUUUAAUCUACUCAGGGGAGUAUGCCAAUUGAGUCCGAUGAUCCGCGGAAAUCUUACCCUACCUUGCAACUAGAGUCAGUCAGUGUACUGCCGUUGUCAGCUGGUUGUGGUCGGAAACAAGUCGAAAGCGGCUCAAAGAAGAGCGGUGGACUUCUCAAAUUCAGGUCGAAGCGCUGCCUACGGUGGGAGAAAUUUGGGGUAUUACAUUUCGCAUUUGGGGAACUUGAUUAACGGAUGGCGGGGUUGUAAAACCUAAUUUGCGGGGAAGUUGAACUUGAAAGUAAGGAUUUAUUUUAAAGAAAAAGAGAAUAGUAUGCUCUCCUGAAUAAGCUCUGGAUUGCGUACACAUCGCCCGUCGCUCUCGCUAUAUCCGAAGGGGAGAUAAGUCGUAACAUGGUAGGGGUACUGGAAGGUGCGCCCUGACCGUC